CUCGAAGUUUAUGGGAGGUCUAGCCUGCCCACUGUAGGAUAUAAAGGGCCGCGGUAUUUUGACCGUGCAAAGGUAGCAUAAUCAUUAGUCUUCUAAUUAAAGGCUGGAAUGAAUGGCUGGACGAGGUAUUAGCUGUCUCUUAGGGAUAAAUUUGAAUUUAACCUUCUAGUGAAAAGGCUGGAAUGAAAUUGGAGGACGAGAAGACCCUAUAGAGCUUUACAUUUUCUUUUAUCUUAAUUCGUUUAGUAGGAGUUAAUUUUUGUAGAGGGAGUGUUUCGUUGGGGUGACGAGAAGAUAGUAGAAACUCUUCUUUCAAUAGGCCACUAAUGAGUGAAUUAAUUGAUCCAUUUUUAGUGAUUAAAAGACUAAGUUACCUUAGGGAUAACAGCGUAAUCUUUUUUGAGAGUUCUAAUCGACAAGAAGGGUUGCGACCUCGAUGUUGGACUAAGGGUUAUUCUUGGGUGCAGAAGUUCAAGGUUUAGGUCUGUUCGACCUUUGAACCCUUA
rnacentral:rRNA from 1 species